rnacentral:rRNA from 1 species
UACACUCCUACGGGAGGCAGCAGUGGGGAAUUUUGGACAAUGGGCGAAAGCCUGAUCCAGCAAUGCCGCGUGAGUGAAGAAGGCCUUCGGGUUGUAAAGCUCUUUUGUCAGGGAAGAAACGGUGAAAGCUAAUAUCUUUUGCUAAUGACGGUACCUGAAGAAUAAGCACCGGCUAACUACGUGCCAGCAGCCGCGGUAAUACGUAGGGUGCAAGCGUUAAUCGGAAUUACUGGGCGUAAAGCGUGCGCAGGCGGUUUUGUAAGUCUGAUGUGAAAUCCCCGGGCUCAACCUGGGAAUUGCAUUGGAGACUGCAAGGCUAGAAUCUGGCAGAGGGGGGUAGAAUUCCACGUGUAGCAGUGAAAUGCGUAGAUAUGUGGAGGAACACCGAUGGCGAAGGCAGCCCCCUGGGUCAAGAUUGACGCUCAUGCACGAAAGCGUGGGGAGCAAACAGGAUUAGAAACCCCAGUAGUCC